rnacentral:rRNA from 1 species
UACGAAGGGGGCUAGCGUUGCUCGGAAUUACUGGGCGUAAAGCGCGUGUAGGCGGUGCGGUAAGUCGGGUGUGAAAGCCCUGGGCUCAACCCAGGAAGUGCAUUCGAUACUACCGUACUAGAGUCCCGGAGAGGUUGGUGGAACUCUCGGUGUAGAGGUGAAAUUCGUAGAUAUCGAGAAGAACACCGGUGGCGAAGGCGGCCAACUGGACGGUGACUGACGCUGAGACGCGAAAGCGUGGGGAGCAAACAGG